UAGGGAAUAUUGGACAAUGGGGGCAACCCUGAUCCAGCCAUGCCGCGUGAGUGAAGAAGGCCCUCGGGUUGUAAAGCUCUUUUGUCCGGAAAGAAAAGCUUCGGGUUAAUACCCCGGGGUUCUGACGGUACCGGAAGAAUAAGCACCGGCUAACUUCGUGCCAGCAGCCGCGGUAAUGCGAAGGGUGCAAGCGUUACUCGGAAUUACUGGGCGUAAAGCGUGCGUAGGUGGUUGUUUAAGUCUGAUGUGAAAGCCCUGGGCUCAACCUGGGAAUGGCAUUGGAAACUGGGCAGCUAGAGUGCGGUAGAGGGUAGUGGAAUUCCCGGUGUAGCAGUGAAAUGCGUAGAGAUCGGGAGGCACAUCUGUGGCGAAGGCGACUGCCUGGACCAGCACUGACACUGAGGCACGAAAGCGUGGGGAGCAAACA
rnacentral:rRNA from 1 species